rnacentral:pre_miRNA from 10 species
UGUGUGUGUGUGUGUGUGUGUGUGUGUGUGUGUGUGUGUGUGUGCGCUGCUGGGUCUCGCUAGGUCUGUCACACACACACACACACAUACUAACG